UACGUAGGGCGCAAGCGUUAUCCGGAAUUACUGGGCGUAAAGGGCGCGUAGGCGGCCUUCUAAGUCGAACGUGAAAUCCCCGGGCUCAACCCGGGAACUGCGUCCGAUACUGGAAGGCUUGAAUCCGGGAGAGGGAUGCGGAAUUCCAGGUGUAGCGGUGAAAUGCGUAGAUAUCUGGAGGAACACCGGUGGCGAAGGCGGCAUCCUGGACCGGUAUUGACGCUGAGGCGCGAAAGCCAGGGGAGCAAACGGG
rnacentral:rRNA from 1 species